rnacentral:rRNA from 1 species
ACACAUGCAGUCGAGGGGUAACAGAUCUUCGGAUGCUGACGACCGGCGAACGGGUGAGUAACACGUAUGCAACUUACCCAUAACUCGGGAAUAGCCCAAAGAAAUUUGGAUUAAUACCCAAUAAUACAGGCGUACCGCAUGGUAUUCUUCGUUAAAGAAUAAUCGGUUAUGGAUAGGCAUGCGUUCUAUUAGGUAGUUGGUGAGGUAACGGCUCACCAAGCCGACGAUGGAUAGGGGAACUGAGAGGUUGUCCCCCCACACUGGUACUGAGACACGGACCAGACUCCUACGGGAGGCAGCAGUGAGGAAUAUUGGUCAAUGGACGAAAGUCUGAACCAGCCAAAUCGCGUGAAGGAAGAAGGUAUUAUGUAUCGUAAACUUCUUUUGUAAGAGAGUAAAGUGCACUACGUGUAGUGUAUUGCAAGUACCUUACGAAUAAGCAUCGGCUAAUUCCGUGCCAGCAGCCGCGUAAUACGGAAGAUGCAAGUGUUAUCCGGAUUUAUUGGGUUUAAAGGGUGCGUAGGUGGUCUAAUAAGUCAGUGGUGAAAUCUCUUUGCUUAACAAGGAAAUUGCCAUUGAAACUGUUAGACUUGAGAAUGGACGAGGUAGGCGGAAUUCGUAGUGUAGCGGUGAAAUGCAUAGAUAUUACGAAGAACUCCAAUAGUGUAGACUGCUUACCAGACCAUAUCUGACACUAAGGCACGAAAGUGUGGGUAUCAAACAGGAUUAGAUACCCUGGUAGUCCACACAGUAAACGAUGAAUACUAACUGUUUGCGAUAUACAGCAAGUGGUCGAGCGAAAGCGUUAAGUAUUCCACCUGGGAAGUAUGCCGGCACGGUGAAACUCAAGGAAUUGACGGGGGCCCGCACAGCGGAGGACAUGUGGUUAAUUCGAUAUACGCGAGGA